AUUUAAAAAAAAGGUCUCCAGAGAGAUCUCUUGCCCUUCUGUCAUGUAAGAACACAACGAGAAGUCUGAAGCCCAAAAGAAGGUUCUCACCCAAACCUGCUGGCACCCUGAUCUCAGACUUCUAGCCUCCAGAGCUAGAGCCUCACGCUGACUGCUGGCCUGGUCUCUGAUGGACACCAGCUCCAUCCAUUGCUCCUUAUGCUGCAGCCAGUUUUGCUUGUGCCCAAUCAAAAACAUCUCUUUCUGCCACAUACUGGAGGCAAUGGGGGGAAGUUAUCCUGGCAAGUCAAUUUCCAAGAAACUCCAGUUCUUGGCCUCCAUGGUGCCCAAGGAAGACCUCUUUGAAAAAGUGACAUGAAAGCUGAAACCUGAUGAUUAAAAUGAGCCAUCCAGAUAGAACGGGAACAAUUCAUGGGAACCACAAGGUACUUGUCUAUUCCCUGGAAUGAAGGAGUGGAAGGUUAAACAAAACUCAGGUACCCCCAGCAGAGCCCACUGGACUCAGCACACUGUCCAUCUCCUCCAUUUAUGCUCCAUCUCUGCUUCAACAAACAGCUCUGAAAAUCUUAGUGCUCAGAAUCAAGUUAGAUACCCAGCUUGUAAUGAGGAAAAAGACAUUGGAUGGUGGAUACAAUUAACAAGAAGAAAUUUUAAAACGACUUCAGUCAAUCUCAGACACCUUUCAAAUGAGGUCACAGUCUGUUCAUCUUUUUCUCCUCAAGCUGAGUUGUUCCUUGUUAUGCUGCAGAGACAAACAAUAAACACCU